UGACAUCCUGAAUAAUGGAGCACAUCUGAAAAGUUUAUCUAAUUCCACUCCUUUGCUGAUCCAGUGGUGGGAGCAAGUUUGAACAACCUCCUCCAGGAAGAAUGCUGUACCACCCAAAUAUAUGUCCCUAAGGGUGAGGCAGCCCUCAGGGACAUAUUUUCAUGUGAUAUAAGGGCUUCCAAGGGCACACCCACCAAAGAUUUAACAGGUCAAAAUGUUAAAUUUUGUCCAUCAUAGAUGUCACCGCUUUCAGCAGAAAAGUGUGGUCAACAUUUGGCUCCAGGGCAAGAUGUUGUCUAUUUCUGUCCUCGAGACCACCAAGCAGUGUAUCUCUUCUCUGGACUUGCGUGUGCAUGUGUCCGGGCACCAGCUAUACCAUCCUGCUGUGUCUUGGCUCUCAUCCCUCUUCUGCUUUUUGCCCCUGGAUUGGCCCUGUCUCCAGGCCCCAUCUGUGCACCAUGCUUGGCUACCUCAAGGAACUGGUUUAUUGGGACCAGACCUCCAUUUGGACUUUUUCUGGCUUUCUGACCUGCAAGUGGCACAUGGAUCCCUGCUUUUGCAUCCCACUUCCUUGCUUGUCCCUGGAGAAAGAAGUCCCUUAGCAUUGGCUGAGCAACAAGUGUCUUAACACACCAUCAGAAGGAACUAGGUAUACUAACUUCUGCUCUGAAAUCUCUUGCUCCCCUCUGUACCUGAACCCUUUAAAGUCUAAAGCUGUUCUCUUAGUCCAUCUCUCUGUUCAGCUUUGAGUGGAUUUUAAUUCAGAUCUCCAGCUAAAGCGCCUCUUCGUGAGCUUCCAUUUAGUCUUAUUGGUAUUACUAGCCUUGUUAGUUUUACUAGUUAAUAUUCUGUUGCUUAUUAUUCAAGAUUUCCUUUAUGUACCCCUGAAACCCUAAAUAAACCUGACUGUAUUUGA